CCUGCCUGUAUUAAGAACCCAGCAGAGCGAGCCGAUCUGAAGAUGCUCAUGAACCACACCUUCAUCAAACGGUCCGAGGCGGAAGAAGUCGAUUUUGCCGGCUGGUUGUGUAAAACGCUGCGGCUGAACCAGCCCAGCACGCCCACACGCGCUGCCGUGUGACGCCGGGUGGCAGGGUCCGGCAGGUGGCCUGCCCAUGCCGUGCCCCUCCUGCCAGGAGAGACCAGCUCCCCCCCACCCCUCGCCGCCCCCCGUCCUCCACGGAGCGGCGCGCACUCGUCUGAACAUUGAACGUCCUCACGCCUGUCACAGCCAUGUGGCCCUCUGGUCUCAGAAAGGGUGACGUGGCAGUAUUGUGUUCUCAGAACCUGCUUACUUAGGUUUAAAAAACCCAAACAAAACCGCGAAAGAGAAGCAAACAUGUCCGUCAUACUUCUGGUCCAUUUGUUCUUUGGGUGGGAAUGCUUCCCGCGGGGCAGCUGAGCCCCGAGCUGACCAGGCCACCGAGAAGUGGGGUGGCAUCAGGCGUGGGCUCCGCUUUGACGGGUAGGCAGACAAGUCCCCCUCCUUGCACUUCUUCGUGUCGCGCUGCCCCCUUUGGGGUGGUCCAGUGGCGAGGAGCAGUCACGCAUUGGGUACCCUGGCGCCCAUCCCCCAGCCACUUCUGCCUCUUGUCCUGCAGCCUGGGACAGCGCCCCUGCCUGUGCCCGGGACAGCGUGAGCUGCCCCCCGGGAGGGAUCUUCCUCUCCUCCUGUGCUUCAUGGUUCCCCGAGGCAGCCGAGCUGACGACACUCGGCUCGACAGAAAGGAAAUGUUGGGUUUCCAAGCUGUCGAUGUGGUUGAAAACCCCAGCAGAUCCAGCAGAUAAGGCCCCGGGCGCCCCCACGCCUCCCAGCCGACAGAUGUGGGCGGGUGGCUCUCUGUGUCAGCUCUGCUCACCCAGCGAAUCACAAGUGACUGCCCAAGGCCCGUCCCCCUUUCAGGCCCUCUAACCCGUCCUCCGCAGCUGGUUGGAAAUGAGACGAUGGGGCUGAGGCCAUAUCUGUUGGGAUGUCCAGCCAGGCCUUCUGCUGGGGUCUAUAUGUGGCCCAAGGCCCAGAAACCAGCCUUGCUGCUUUCCGGGCUGAGCCGCCUCGGCCAGAGGAGGCCGCCUCUGGGCCGCCAGGCAGUAGGAAGUGGUGGAGGGCAGGCUGCUCGUAAGGCUCCCUCUCUGAGCUCCCUGAAGAUGUGAAGCUCUGAGCAAACCCCUCGGUACUUCCUGGAGGCCUGAAGCAAGCUGAUAUUUAUCUAUGGCAAAUUGCAGGGGAAGGCAGGGCUGGGGCCUGGUGCAAGCUUCUGGAGAAGGCACAGCUGAAAGCAGGGGCUUGUGGCCCUCUGGGAACUGCUGGAUCCUUUUCCUUUUAGGGAGGCCCUUCUAGUCUCCUGUAGUUUUUUUCUGUGGACAGCAAAGGAGACAACGUGGCAGCUCCUUCAGCCAGCUUCAGGUUCCUACCAGUUCCGAGGGUCCCCACAUUCUCACCUGAUUUAGAAAACAGUAAAAAGGCAACUGAGAGGAAGGUGUCGCUCCGUGGGUGCCUGAGCUUCCUCAGGGAUGGCCAGCCCAGGUGAACCAGGACCCAGCAUAUGGGUCUGAGGGAGCCUGGCGCUGGUGGCACCUCCCGUGCACCCCUGCUGGCAGCAGGCUAAGCAGGGAGAACUGGGAAUCAGUAGGGGAGGCGGGCGGGCCCACAAGCAGGAGGGUGGGGAGAGGUGUAGGUGCCCCCGCAGGGCCAUCAGUCGAGGCUGGCUGCCCACUGGCUGCCUUGUGUGCUGGUCUGUGGCUCUCACCAGAUUCCUUGGCACCUCAGGAAAGGACUGGAAUGAAGCUGGGCCCUUGGCCUCCCACUCUUGAGCCAGAACCAGGCUCCAGGAAAGCAGGGAGCAUGCCAGAGCCUUUGAGGCCUGGCGCAAGUGUGUCUGCACUGACCCCUCACGUCCCCAGGUGUCCCCCUCAAACCCCAUCCCCCGCAAACACCCCCAGACUUGGCCCCACUAACCCGGCGCCCUAGGCACCGCAGGGUCAGCCCCUGUCCAGGCCUGGCGGCUCCCUCCCAUCCAGCCAGGGGCAGCCACACGCAGACCUGGGACACCACCUUGCAUCCCAGCAACCUGGGUGUAGCUCCUCGUCAUAGAGGGCAGGCUCUCAGUGAAACGCAUGAUGGUUGUCGCUUUGGGGGGGUCUCCUGACAUGGCUCUGGAAAAAAAACCCAGGCGGCCUGUGCACAACUGUGUUCGGGGGCUCUGUGGACACGCAGCUCCCGGGACCCACAAUGCCCUUCAGUCCGACCUCAGCAAAGGUAGGGGAAGGACCUGGUGCCCCUGAGAAUCCUGUGUUGGGUGUUCUUUGGUUUGUGGGUUUUUCUUUUGUUUUUUGUGGGGCACUUGGUUUGAAAGAAGAAAGUAUUUUCAUCAUAUUAUAAAGAGCACUUCACCCAGAACUCCAUCCCUCCAUGUCCCCGGGGUCCUUACCGUGUGCUUGUGCCUCAGUCCUGAGCAGCUCGGCCGACAGCCCUUUGAGACCACCCAGUGCAAAAGAUGCCCCCCCUCCAUGAGCAGCACAGCCCCCUGCCCCCAGCCAGGCAGGGUGUGUGAAGGAUGGGGCAGGAUUCAUCUGCAUAUGCUAUUCAUUGGGCUCCGGGCCACCGCCUGCCCCUCAUCCCAUGGGGUUCUCACACCCCGUCGCACCGGUCCUGGGAAGGGCUGCUCUCCCCUGCUUGUAAGGGAAAUGCUCCCGGUGGAGCUGGGGAGCAAAUGGAAAGAAAAAUGGUCUGCAGAACCGGUGGGCAGGUCCCAAGUAGGUCCCUGCCCCCGAGUCCCCAGAUGCAGUCACCAGUGUCAUUCAACUGCACAGCUUAAAUAUCUGUGGUGAAAACCAGGAACCAGUACGGCAGCCUCAGUUAAUGAGGGAAGAGAAGCAGGUGAAGCCGAUGAUACUGUUUAUUUACCCCAAUAUAGGCAAACUGCGACCAUUUCUUCGGUAACCAGUAAGGGAGCGUGGGAGCGUGGUCUGCAUGCAGGUUUCAGUCCUUUGUGCCCUCUGUGUCCGCCCGCCUCACCCCCACACCCUGCUGUCAGUUAGCCCGUCAGGUCUCAGUGGGGACUGUCCUGCCCCCUCAACCCAGGAGACAUCUGUGGUUGUCACACUGGAGUGCUCCUGGCAUCGAGUGGGUGGGGCCCAGGGAGGCUUCUCAGCCUCCAGUGGUGCCCAGGACAGCCCCCCACAGAGGGCAGCCUGAUGCCCACAGUGCCGACGAGGAAACCCUGCUUUAGCCCAUAACUCUCCUGGAAUUUGUUGGUCGAGGAGUCACCCAGCCAGCAGAGGCCAGACCCUGGCUUGCCUGUGGCCGGGGGGACAGCCCUGCCCGAAACCAUGGGGUUUCUUGUGUCCGGAGACUGGGACACGGUGUGGCAGGGGGCUAGGCAAGGGAACGGUAAGGGCUCACAGAACCUUCUGGAAGGUGCGGAGCCGGGAGGAGUGCACGCAGCCGGCUGGUGUGGGCGGAGGUGUGUGCAGGGCAGGAAGCCUCAGGUCCGGGAGGCGGAACCCGGCGUGCCUCUCGGGGUUAACACAGUUCAGAGGAAGCUGCAGCAGGGUUUCCCAGAAAGCGGGGGUCCAGGGUGGGAAGGGGGUGAGGAAGGGGAAGAGACGCGCUCAAAAUGAAACCAGCUGGGCCGUCAGGCCUCAGCGCUGGCCAGGCUCUGAGCCGACCAGGUGCGCGAGCCCCGGCCAGCUGGGGCCUGGAGGUCCCACCCCGAGCUGCAGGCCAGACUUCUUCGAGCUCA